rnacentral:misc_RNA from 1 species
GCACGCCGUGUGCGGUGAAAGUCGCUUGCACGGUGUAGGCUCGAUUCGAAGGCUACAUUAUAUGUAGUAUAAGGCGAGAAUAGCGAUGCAAC